rnacentral:misc_RNA from 1 species
UUCUGAAGCGGAAUUUAAUUAUGAACAUCAAACACUAUAACCAUAUGGUUUAUUAUUCAAACUUUAAUCUUUCUUAUCGCGGACAAAUUCGUUUUAUUGAAAAAAUAGUGAACUACCUACCCACUUUACCAAGCAUAGUUUUAGAGUUCAUAUUACAAGCGAGAAUGUACCUUCCAUACAUUUUCGUUUCUUUUUUCGCCUGUCAAAGUGUUUUUUCGCUCACUAAUAUUCACAAAAAGAAAUCUCGAGCGCUGACAGAAGUCGAAGAGUUUGCCAAUGCAUUAGACGGGCUGUUAAACUUCGCCUCUCAACAUUACGACGAAAUCAAUUUUGAUGGAGCUUUAGGAUUAGUUUUGGCAGAAGCGAAUUUGUACACGGCGAUAGCUAGACAUCAGGAUAUGGGCAAUUUUGCUAUUUUAGACUAUCUAAUACAUAAAAUAAGAAUUGUAAAAUCCAGAGUUCUGAAAGGUCUUCAACUAUCAAAUCGAUACCGCCUUUUUGGAAAUUAUUUAUUGAGACCGUCGUUUUGGAGUAACCAUUUAAAUUUCAACUUCGGACUUUUAACAGACUACGGAAUGUACAAUUACAGUGAUUUUCGAAGAGUAAUUGCAGAAAAAAAUGCAGUAUAUAAGGGAGUUAAAUCUGACGACUGUUUGGAAGAAAUUCUUAAUGGAAUUGGAAGAAGAAAUACUACAAGAUUAUGUUACAUUAGUCCUAAAUGUCAUGAAAUGAUGUUGGCUGACAGAACUGAUGUUUCCUACCUUCUAACACACAGGCUGUUCUAUUUGCAAAUCUUGAGAGGGACAAACUGCACAACAAAUAUAAACUUUGUUCUAAAAACACAACACUUUUGUUCGCUAAUACUUCGAGAGGCGAAAACAAAUGAAUAUUACGGUUUUCCACAACACGAUUUAUUUUUAGAACAAGUGUCUUUUUGUGGAAUGGAAGGCUUUUCGGAAUUUUUAAUUCCUAAUUGGCGACGAAAAAUACUUUGGUGGCAAUCUCCUCAGGGAUGUUAUAAAAACAGGGCACAACCGUUUAACAACAAGUACCUUUUCACUCGAUCGGAAAAUAAUAUCAGUUAUGGUUGCACUGACCAUACAACAGGAUUGGGAGCUGCUGCUUUAGCAUUAAAUUUACGAUUUCUAAUACAUACGACACCUGCACUACAGUUAAAGUAAUAAAUAAAACGAGAAUUCGAAAUUUCACGAGUCUUUUAUUUUAGAAAAUCUGAGAGCAGAAUUUUAGAAUCUCGUUGAUAUAUUAUGUAAUGGUGAUACAAAAUGGCCCCGGGAUCUCUUUAAAGUAAAAAAUAAUAGGUGCCUAUAGGAUUGAGAACCUCCUCCUUUUUCGAAUUUGGUUAAAAAAACCUCAACGCGUUGUAUCGGUAACAGUCGCCUACCAUUUUCGAACAAUGCCGUCUAUCAACCAAGUGGGUUCUUCACAUGAAUUUUUCAUGGAUGUUACGGGACACAGAAUUAUUCAGAAUGACAUUAUACAGAUCAAUCUCAUUUCAUUCACAUUUGGAAGUGAUCUGUGGUAGAAACGAAAAAACUCGCCGUACCCAUUCAGUUACAUUCGCAUCCCUGUACAUGUGGGCAGGUAUGGUCCGGUCUAUGGGAAACAAGUCUUUCUGCCUCAAUCUAGAUUGUAUGCAACAAUCGUAGCUACCUGUUUCGGAUGUCUUUUUUUGUUACGAACGUCUGGACGUUUAUUACAAGCUUACCUUCGAGGCGAAUAAGAACAUCGACGACAUGACGUGUGUUUUCUCCAUUCGGAAAAUGAAAUGUCGAUAUGAAGAAAAGAGUAUUUCAAAAAGUAAACCUGAAACGCAUUUCGACACGCAAGGUGUCAUCCCAUCCUCAGUCAGAGAUCAGUAUCCAUCAAGAUCGAUUAUCAGAAAACUCUCUACCUAUAUGUAUUUCUUGUUACCAAUAUUAUUCUUGCAAUUAGUUACGCUGGAAUAUUUGUUAACAUCAAUUUUUCCACUUUUCUGACAUUUUAAUGUUAAUUCUACAUGAAAAAUGUACUAAUGAAUAAUUAUACAUAGUCAGCUACAAAAGAGAUUAAUACAAAUUUUAAGAUAACUUGAUGAGGUUAAAGGAGGUAUUUGAAAGAAGUCAAUCAGGUCCACGAGGGGUUGCAACCGCGAAAGCGUGUUUUAGACCCACCAUUCCAUCACCUACUUAUUCAAGAAAAAAAUUGCUGUCUACCCCUUGUUUUUCGACCAUUUGACUGCCCUAUCAACUAACUUAUAUUUCGUGAAUUUAAUUUAAUCUAGGUAAUUUUUUUACUUAUGGACCCAACCUGGUGACCAAGCAAAAUAGUAAAAUGGAACUUUUUUUAUAAUACCACCGGUAAGUAAGUAGCUUGACCUGUUGGCUGGCAACAAGCCUUCAGUACACACGCGUCGUUAAGUUUAGAAUCAUUCAAGAGAAGCUACCUUCCUCCAAGUAAUACAAUAACCGCCGACUGAAAACGGGUUUCAAGAAGAUCGCUUUAGGAAACGGUAACAUCCGUUAUAACAACGUAUUGAACCUACUGCUAACCGGCACAUAUUAGUUGGUUACUGAAAGAACGCUUUUUGAUUCUAGGUACACAGGCCGACAAAAUCUGGGCAACCCUAAUAUUACCCAAUAAUAUACUGACGCGCUGAAUUCGAUAAGUAAGUAUUACAUUAAAAGUUGCUUUCUGUUGGGGUUGUGUGAGUUUAGGAGAUUGUGGUUUAAACGAUUGUUAAUUCAAAUUUCGAUUUAAUAAAAUGAACGCAAAAGCACUACACUAAUAAAUGUCCGAAGUUACUUCCUUCUUUAGGGAGUAGAGACAACUGAAAACUAGAGUCACUGGACCAUAACAUUGGUUAAAAUUUAUGAUGUUCACAUUUUAAUUCUUUUCAGUUCCUAAAGAAAGUAAUUUUAUUAUCGAAAAGUACUUUACAUGUUCAAUGUUACGUUUUGGCGACCGGGUUUUAGCUACCUUAGUAGAUAUUUAGUGCGUUCUGAAGUAACGCCACUGUUCCACUCUUUUCUUGAAAAGAACCAAAUUAAAAUUUUAAUAUAUAAGGUAUUAGACGUAGAUUAGAUUACUGUUCGCAAAUA